GACGAACGCUGGCGGCGUGCCUAACACAUGCAAGUCGAGCGAUGAAGUUUCUUUCGGGGAAUGGAUUAGCGGCGGACGGGUGAGUAACACGUGGGUAACCUGCCUCAUAGAGGGGAAUAGCCUCCCGAAAGGGAGAUUAAUACCGCAUAAUAUUACAGUUUCGCAUGAAACAGUAAUUAAAGGAGUAAUCCGCUAUGAGAUGGACCCGCGGCGCAUUAGCUAGUUGGUGAGGUAACGGCUCACCAAGGCGACGAUGCGUAGCCGACCUGAGAGGGUGAUCGGCCACAUUGGGACUGAGACACGGCCCAGUCUCCUACGGGGGGCAGCAGUGGGGAAUAUUGCACAAUGGGGGAAACCCUGAUGCAGCAACGCCGCGUGAGUGAUGACGGUCUGCGGAUUGUAAAGCUCUGUCUUUGGGGACGAUAAUGACGGUACCCAAGGAGGAAGCCACGGCUAACUACGUGCCAGCCGCCGCGGUAAGAC
rnacentral:rRNA from 1 species